rnacentral:rRNA from 1 species
GAUGAACGCUGGCGGCGUGCCUAAUACAUGCAAGUCGAGCGAAGCGGCGGAUGGGCGAGUACCGCGUGGGUAACCUGUCCUUAAGUCUGGGAUUCCAUCUGGAAACAGAUGCUAAUACCGGAUACUAAUGGAUGGACCUGGAAUGAAUUAGCUAGUUGGUAAGGUAACGGCUUACCAAGGCGAUGAUGCAUAGCUGGUUGGAGAGGCUGAUCGGCCACAUUGGAACUGAGACACGGCCCAAACUCCUACGUGAGGCAGCAGUAGGGAAUAUUCCACAAUGGGCGAAAGUCUGAUGGAGCAACGCCGCGUGAGUGAAGAAGGUUUUCGGUUUGUAAAGCUCUGUUGUUUGUGAAGCGGUAAUCAACCAAAAAGUCACGGCUAACUACGUGCCAGCAGCCGCGGUAAUUC